rnacentral:rRNA from 1 species
GAAUUGACGGGGGCCCGCACAAGCGGAGGAACAUGUGGUUUAAUUCGAUGAUACGCGAGGAACCUUACCCGGGCUUGAAUUGCAGAUGAAGGAUCCAGAGAUGGUGACGCCCUUCGGGGCAUCUGUGAAGGUGCUGCAUGGUUGUCGUCAGCUCGUGCCGUGAGGUGUCGGCUCAAGUGCCAUAACGAGCGCAACCCCUUUCUUCAGUUGCCAUCAGGUAAAGCUGGGCACUCUGGAGACACUGCCACCGCAAGGUGUGAGGAAGGUGGGGAUGACGUCAAAUCAGCACGGCCCUUACGUCUGGGGCUACACACGUGUUACAAUGGGGGGUACAGAAAGCCGGCUGCCCGCAAGGUCAGUCCAAUCAAGAAAGCCUCCCUCAGUUCGGACUGGGGUCUGCAACCCGACCCCACGAAGCUGGAUUCGCUAGUAAUCGCGCAUCAGCCAUGGCGCGGUGAAUACGUUCCCGGGCCUUGUACACACCG